AUUGAACGCUGGCGGCAUGCUUUACACAUGCAAGUCGGACGGCAGCACAGAGAAGCUUGCUUCUUGGGUGGCGAGUGGCGAACGGGUGAGUAACAUAUCGGAACGUACCGAGCAGUGGGGGAUAACUAAUCGAAAGAUUAGCUAAUACCGCAUAUAUUCUGAGGAAGAAAGCAGGGGACCAUUUGGCCUUGCGCUGUUUGAGCGGCCGAUAUCUGAUUAGCUAGUUGGUGGGGUAAAGGCCUACCAAGGCGACGAUCAGUAGCGGGUCUGAGAGGAUGAUCCGCCACACUGGGACUGAGACACGGCCCAGACUCCUACGGGAGGCAGCAGUGGGGAAUUUUGGACAAUGGGCGCAAGCCUGAUCCAGCCAUGCCGCGUGUCUGAAGAAGGCCUUCGGGUUGUAAAGGACUUUUGUCCAGGGAAGAAAAGGGCGGGGUUAAUACCCCUGUCUGAUGACGGUACCUGAAGAUA
rnacentral:rRNA from 1 species